rnacentral:snRNA from 1 species
GUGCUCACUUUGGUGGCACAUACAAUAAAAUUGGAAAGUUGUAGAGAUUAGCAUGACCCCCUGCACAAAGAUGACACACGCAUUCAUGAAACUGUCCAUAAAAAA